UCUCCCCCCACCCCGCAGUCGCACAACAGCAGAUUGGAGGAGUUGGGGAAAGGAAGCGGCGCCACCUCGUCGUCCUCGCCUAAAACCCUCGCCUCCCUCCACCGGUUUCCCUCCUCUCCUCCACCCGACGACGUCUGGGCGAGCAAUCGGUUCAUCUCAAGGCUCGCGAGGCGAUGGUGGACGCGUGGUGGCCCCUGCUGGGCGCGGCGAUCCCGGCGCUGGUGGCGGGCCAGUUCAUCCGCAUCAAGCGCCGCCGCGACGAGGAGCAGCGCCUCAAGGCGGCGCGCGGCCGCGAGAAGAGCUCCGACGAGGUCUUCGUCUGCGAGCGCGUCUGCACCUCCAAGCGGAUGCUCAAGAAGGUGGGGGCCUUCUCCAAGGACCCCAUCCCGGAGACCUGCGUCACCGUCUGCGGCGUCUCCGAGCUCGACGCCUGCGCCGACGCCUGCGCGCGCACCGUCUGCGUCAACCAGCACCAGGUGCCCAACUGGAACGACGUCUGCCUCAAGAGGUGCCAGAGCGAGUGCCUCAAGCUCUCCUCAACCCUCAUGUAGUGGCCCUCUCGCACUUGUGCUGCGGCUCCUUAGGGGUGGCGGUUUCGUGGAUGUUGCACACAGACAUCUAUCACCCUUCACAGUUUAAGCUAAGAAGCCUGAAAUCCUAGAGGUGUGGUUUCUAAGGUUUCAGGGAGUUAAUUUGUGAGCAUUGUUAGAGACUAAUCUCUUGUUGGAGUUUCAACUUUCUGGUGCAAAGUGCAAACACCCAAGAAUUCAGAAAGCAAUACCAGUACCAUCUUCAAAUCACCAUGUAUCCAGGUAGGAGAAAAACAGGUGGGUCGAUUAGUUAACCUUUCUAACUCAGUACAAAUAUGGUUUUCUGAAUUUUUUCUUUGGGCUGUAUUAGCCUAACAGGCAAGUUGUCUUUCUUAAAUCUGAGAACCAGGUCAGUGAUUCAAGUAUAAAGAACAGUGAUGGUUGUGGUAGUUUAGGGAUUGGGGGACAGUAAACUGCUACUAGUUUCAAGCUGUAGGAGAGAUCCAUUAGUGUAAAUCUUUAUUAGUAGAUUGCAAUUAACUCCUUUUAAUCUAUUUGGACAUUUUUUAUGUUUUUGGUUGCAUCUGUCCCAAGUUUCUUACGAACCACUAGGUGAUGCGUAUCUAGAUGACAGGGAAGCACUUAUCCUGCAUUGGUGACAAGGCAUACCUAAGUACCCUCACCUAAACCUUAUUGCCUGAAGGACAUUGCAUUGCAUCUGUCAAAUUUCAGUGGGUUAAACAUUGAUGGUGGUUUACUUAACCAUCUUGGUAAUAGGUUCUCAUGCAAGGGGUUACAAAAAUGAAUGCAAGGGGUUACAGAAUGAA